UACGUAGGGUGCGAGCGUUGUCCGGAAUUAUUGGGCGUAAAGAGCUCGUAGGCGGUUUGUCACGUCUGCUGUGAAAUCCCGAGGCUCAACCUCGGGCCUGCAGUGGGUACGGGCAGACUGGAGUGCGGUAGGGGAGAAUGGAAUUCCUGGUGUAGCGGUGGAAUGCGCAGAUAUCAGGAGGAACACCGAUGGCGAAGGCAGUUCUCUGGGCCGUAACUGACGCUGAGGAGCGAAAGCAUGGGGAGCAAACAGG
rnacentral:rRNA from 1 species